rnacentral:rRNA from 1 species
CCCUUAGAUGUUCUGGGCCGCACGUGCGCUACACUGAUGCAUUCAACGAGUGUACCUUGGCCGAGAGGCCUGGGCAAUCUUUUGAACGUGCAUCGUGAUAGGGAUAGAUUAUUGCAAUUAUUAAUCUUGAACGAGGAAUUCCUAGUAAACGCAGAUCAUCAAUCUGCAUUGAUUACGUCCCUGCCCUUUGUACACACCGCCCGUCGCACCUACCGAUUGGAUGGUCCGGUGAAGCCUCGGGAUUGUGGCGGUUGCCUUUAUUGGUGGCCGCCGCGAGAACUUGUCUAAACCUUAUCAUCUAGAGGAAGGUGAAGUCGUAACA